ensembl:lncRNA
UACCCAGGGGUGCUCUCGCAUAUAAAUAGCCCUCCAAGACCACAGUAGUUGUUUUCCCUAAACUCAAAGAAUAAGAAAAAUAUAAGCAAAAUGAAGAAGCUCAGGAACCAUCCCAGUUAAAAGAACAGGACAAUUCCCCUAAAUGAGCAAAGAAUGAAAUAGACAUCUGCACUCUAAGGGAUACCAAGUUCAAAAAAGGAGAUAGUGAAAAUACUGAAGGAAUUAAGAAUAGGUAUGAACAGUAAUGCAGAUUACUUUAGAAAGGAACUAGAAAAUAUGAGGACCCAAGGAAAAUUAGAAAACCCAUUUUCAAAGUUGCAAGCUGAGUUAAAGGCCUUGAACCAUAGAAUGAAAAAUGCAGAGGAACGAAUUAGUGAUUUGGAAGGCAGAAUGAUGGAAAUCACCCAAUCAGGACAGCAGACAGAAAACCAAAUGAAAAAACAUGAGAGCAAUAUAAGAGAUCCAUGGGUUAUUAUAAAGUGGGCCAAUCUAUGUAUAAUAGGGAUUCUAGAAGGUGAAAUAAAAGAAAAGGCGAUUGGAAAUAUAUUUGAAGAAUAAUGGCUGAAAACUUUCCAAAUCUAAAGGAAACAGAUAUCAAGAUACAGUAAGCACAGAGGGCUCCAAACAAGUUGAACCUAAACAUGCCCACACCAAGACAUAUUAUAAUAAAAAUGGCAAAAGUUAAAAGAUAAAAAGAGGCUUCUAAAGGAAGCAAGAGGAUUAAUUAUAAGGAAACCCCCAUAAGGCUAUCUGAUUUCUCCACAGAAACAUUACAGGCCAGAAGAGAGUGGCAAGAUAUAGUCAAAGUUCUAAGAGGGAAAAAUUUGCUGGCUAGAAUACUCUACCCCGCAAGAGUAUCAUUUAAAAUAGAAGGAGAAAUAAAGAAUUUCUCCAACAAGCAAAAACUAAAAUAAUACAGCAAUAAUAAACCCAUUCAGAAAGAAAUACUGAAAGGUCUCCUCUAAAUAGGAAAGAAGUAAGAAGUAUAGGAUGGAGGAAAUCACAAUUGGAAAGUAAUCUCUUAAAUAAGCCAGUAUACAGAUCUGAAAGACAAAAAAAAAAAAAAAAAAAAAAAAAACUUAGUUGUAAAAGCAACGAUAAACACAAGGAAUGGCAAAAGGAUAAAUAUGAAGAUGUAAAAAAGGACAUCAAAAUCAUAAAGUAUGGGGAAUGAAAGUAAGGAAAUCUAGAUUGCUUUUUUUAGAAUGUGUUUGAGCCUAUAUGGCUAUCAGGCUAAAGCAAGCAGCUAUAGGAAGGGGUUUACAUACUUGAAAAACAGGGCAACCACAAAUCAAAACCAAACAAUACAUUCA